GUGAGUCAUCGAAUCUUUGAACGCAACUUGCGCUCCCCGGAGCAUGUUCCUUUGAGCCGGAAACCAUCUUUCUGUUGGACCGUAGCAUGGCGCAAGCUUGCUUGGUCCCAAAUGUGUGAACGCGGGACAUUAACUCUGCGUCUCUGAGCCAAGCAGCACGUUUACGUGCAGCCAUCAGAGACAAGGAGAAUUGUCCCAUGGGAAGAGGGAGAGAUAUUGGAUCUGAGCAAUCAGAGCUAAUACAUCUCCAUCAUCCCACAUUGCACUCCGCUCAGUGGAACAGGACUACCCGCUGGACUU
rnacentral:misc_RNA from 1 species